GAGGGCUAUCUGGCUGCGAUAUGUGUCUGUGAUAUCGCCAGAGUUGAUUCAGCUGAUCUGGCUGGCUAGGUGGGUGUCCCCUUCCCCUC
rnacentral:snRNA from 1 species